rnacentral:rRNA from 1 species
GAUGAACGCUGGCGGCGUGCCUAAUACAUGCAAGUCGAGCGGACAGACGAGGAGAUUGCUCCUCUGACGUUAGCGGCGGACGGGUGAGUAACACGUGGAUAACCUACCUAUAUGACUGGGGUAACUUCGGGAAACAGGAGAUAAUACCAGAUCAUAUAUUGAACCGCAUGGUUCAAUAGUGAAAGACGGUUUUGCUGUCACUUUUAGAUGGAUCCGCGUCGCAUUAGCUAGUUGGUAAGGUAACGGCUUACCAAGGCAACGAUGCGUAGCCGAUCUGAGAGGGUGAUCGGCCACACUGGAACUGAGACACGGUCCAGACUCCUACGGGAGGCAGCAGUAGGGAAUCUUGCGCAAUGGGCGAAAGCCUGACGGAGCAACGCCGCGUGAGUGAUGAAGGUCUUCGGAUUGUAAAACUCUUUUGUUAGGGAAGAACAAAUGUGUAAUUAACUAUGCCUGUUUUGACGGUACCUAAUCAGUAAGCAACGGCUAACUACGUG